rnacentral:misc_RNA from 1 species
AAACAGCCUCUAAGUAAUUGAUUAUGCUGAAAUUGUUCUGGAAUUUGUAUAUUGAUUGGGAGAUAUGCAUCAGAAAAGUGCCCUUUUUUUUGGUGUGGAUUCCUUAAUCCUACAAAACAUUUUGGUUAGGCAUUCAGCAACACCAUCCUAAAUUGUUCUUUGCGCAAAAUAUGAUUUUUUUGCAUGUAGUUUUCCAAGUCCACCCCUAUAUACGAUCAUUUCUUACUGCAUUGAAUGGAGAGAGUCUUGUUCAUGUCUCAAAU